AUUGAACGCUGGCGGCAGGCCUAACACAUGCCAGUCGAGCGGAGGAAGGGAGCUUGCUCCUGGAUUCAGCGGCGGACGGGUGAGUAAUGCCUAGGAAUCUGCCUGGUAGUGGGGGAUAACGUCCGGAAACGGGCGCUAAUACCGCAUACGUCCUGAGGGAGAAAGUGGGGGAUCUUCGGACCUCACGCUACCAGAUGAGCCUAGGUCGGAUUAGCUAGUUGGUGGGGUAAAGGCCUACCAAGGCGACGAUCCGUAACUGGUCUGAGAGGAUGAUCAGUCACACUGGAACUGAGACACGGUCCAGACUCCUACGGGAGGCAGCAGUGGGGAAUAUUGGACAAUGGGCGAAAGCCUGAUCCAGCCAUGCCGCGUGUGUGAAGAAGGUCUUCGGAUUGUAAAGCACUUUAAGUUGGGAGGAAGGGCAGUAAGUUAAUACCUUGCUGUUUUGACGUUACCAACAGAAUAAGCACCGGCUAACUUCGUG
rnacentral:rRNA from 1 species